rnacentral:lncRNA from 1 species
CGGCGGGACUUCUACAGUAAGCGAUCUACUCCGAACUUCUACAGAAUCGGAUUUCGGGCGAACUUCUACAACGGAUAUGCUCCAGUGGCCGGAUUUCUACAGCGACCGACUGUCUCUGAUGUCUUUCAUACCUCUUCGAUCAUCAACCCUCGACAGCGCCAGCCGACCUUCCGCAGAUCCAUCCGAUCUCCUCCAGUGGACGAACUUCCACAAUGCCUUCCGAAUUAUGCUAUCAGCCGACCUUCUGUCGGAUUCCUCGUGCAACUGGACCUCUCUGGCAGACAAUAUUAAGACGAGCUUCCACAUCGGAUAAAUCUCAGACGGACUUCUCUGGCAAUCAGAUUUCUACCAAACUUCACCAACAGAAUGUCCCCAUCCAAGCUUCUACAGCAGAUGACUUCCACCUGCAGCAUCAGCGCCCAAGGCAUCCGACAACUGUAGGCUCGUCAGCAACCUCAAAAACAUCCGAGC